rnacentral:rRNA from 1 species
UACGUAGGGGGGCAAGCGUUGUCCGGAUUUAUUGGGCGUAAAGAGCUCGUAGGCGGUUUGGUAAGUCUGGUGUGAAAUCUCCACGCUCAACGUGGAGGGGCCACCCCGAUACUGCCAUGACUGGAGUCCGGUAGAGGAGUGUGGAAUUCCCGGUGUAGCGGUGAAAUGCGCAGAUAUCGGGAGGAACACCCGUAGCGAAGGCGGCACUCUGGGCCGGUACUGACGCUGAGACGCGAAAGCGUGGGGAGCAAACAGG